AAUCUCACAGUAUUGAUCCAGGUGUUGUUGUCAUGUUUUUAUGUGCCAGUGUUUUUCAUUUUUGAUGAUUUAAAAAUGGAGAUGCCAUUUCUAAUUACAGCAGGUUUGUUGUCAGUGAAGAUGUUCACUUUACUUUAAAACACUCCAGUUUAAGAACAGAGAGCCGAGGUCAGCAAACAAAAUGUGAAAAUGAGCAAUGCAUGACCUAUGACCUUUCCUGGAUAUUCAAAUUCCAAGUUCCUCUGUGUUCUCCAUAUGAGGUGGCUGUAGAGCAGGUCCUCUACCAAAAUGAAAGGGUGGUGAUUUGAUCCUUGGCUCCUUAAAUCUGCAUGCCAACUAUCCUUGAGCAAAACACCUGAUGCAGCCAUCAGAGGGAGAAUGUUAGAUAGAAGGAUAGAAAUGCAGAGGCCAUUAUUAUUAGUGCUGUGGAUUGUAAAGAACAAUGUGGAUUAGACAAUCCCUUUAACACUGGUAUCAAAAGUGAAAUCAAAUAAUCAAUUGGAUAUUAUGCAAAUAUAUAAAUAAAACAUAAAUACCUGUUUUGAAUGGCAGAAAGAUGUGAGAAAGUAAGAAAGACAGAGACAGGUGGGUGAGCUCCAUUCACUCUCAUCAGCAGAGAGAGAGAGAGCUGCACACUGUGCUGUAAACUCUUUAAAAUACCUCAAUAAAAGCCUCCUCUGUGCCUACGAGGAGAAACUGAAACCGGAGCAGUUUCCAGCUCUGUCUGCUCGUUUGUUCCACUUUCAGCAGAAAACAUUAUUUGCUGCAAAAAGUGACGUCAUCCUCACUUUAGCCCAUUACUCACAUACUGAGCUGCCAUAAAGAAUCAUUUAUACUGUUAAAAUAAAUGUCCUAAAUAUCCUGCAAGACACUAACCCUGAUGCAUCCAUCAGAGUGAGAAUGUUAGAAAGAUAAAAGCACUCGAGUAUAGAAGAAGUUUAUGUGUGGCUGGAUGAAUGUUGUGUAAAGUGCUCUGAGUCUCCAGGAGUCUGUUAAAUAAGAAUCAGUCCACUGAUGAAACAGAUCCAUUGCUGGAAACAUGCUGAACAUUACGGCUGAUUCUUCUCAAACUGAUCAGAUGUUGAAAUGGUUUUUGUGACCAUUUUUUAACCUGAAUCCAAAUGUAAAAUUUUGGUUCAAAUCAGGUGAAGCUAGAAUAUCAGGGAUAGAAAGCUCAAAACAGACGUUUCGCAAGAAGUGACGUCAUCCUCACUUUAGCCCAGUACUCACACACUGAUCCGGCAUAAAGAUUAUAUUUAUACCUCAUGGCAAAUACGCUUUUUCCCCCUUUUUUAUUCUCUCUGACUUCUGCUACAAAUAUCUCAUAAACAGGAGGCAGGUUCACUAUAACCAAAACUACAGACUCACACAUCAUGUCAGUGUUACAGCAAACAGCAUCCACAGCAGUGCACAGUUAAGAAGACAUUAAGAAAACAGUCCAACUUUUCUCUGCAUCAUUUCCUUUUGGGUUUUUGUGAACUUAUUUUCUACAUCAGCAGAUCGAUGCAGGGUCUCUGUGGUCGUCGUUAUCUUAUCAUCUGUUUCAUCUGUCGCUGGUUUUCUGCACAUUUCUUUCACUCUAAAAGUAAGAGUAAGUAUGUUGCUGCUGCUUGUGCAAUCAGACUGACUCAUCGUUCACUUUCUUUUGCUCGUCUGUAUAAACUUUGUUGUGCCGUCAGUGAUUCAUUACAUCACUUGUGUUUCAUUGUCAUUGUUGUGUAUUGUUCAUUAGUUAAAGCCUGUUUGUUGUUUCACUGAAUGAAAGUUCUGUGUUUGUAGUUUUUCUAAAUUCUUUGUGUUUCAGGGAUAUUUAAAUGCACUACAGGCGUAUUCAGCUCAGUGAAAACAUCAACUGAAAGUCAAAUAACAUGUAUUAUUAAUUUAAAUUAAAUAUAUAUAUAUAAAACACAG